CAGAGUAGCAGUCAGAUCGCAGAUUCAUAUGCAGUUAUUCAUAUGUAGCGUUCAUGUGGAAGUGAAAGUCCGUGACAAAAUACUACCUCAAGUACACCACUAUGUGAAAAUGGUCACUCUUGUGCGAUACAUGACCAAAUCUGAUGACUCCCAACUCCCCGACCAAAGUACUGCAGCAGUCAAUAACAUAUCCACAAGACUAAAUGGGGCACUUUCUAUAUGAGAGUUCAACCUUUCUGUCUUGAGAUAUUCACACCUUUCAGAUUCCCAACUUUAUGAUAUUGUUCAGAAUUUGGUUGGAGAAAAUUAGGAGAUUGGGGCAAAUGCUGUUCGGUCCAGGCUUGCAGCUAUAAAUAUUCGAGUGCCGCGAAGGAGACUUGGACUGUAUGAACCCAAGGACACUGAGACUAACAGACCCAGUUCCUGCUGCCAUGAAGCUCAUCACACCAUGAUCAACUGGCCUCCCAUCAUCGUGAUGCCCUGCCAAUGUCUGACCAGCGAACACCCGCUGCUUCCCUUUAUUUCU